AAGUCGUAACAAGGUUUCCGUAGGUGAACCUGCGGAAGGAUCAUUUUAGAACAGAAUGUCUCUUUUCCAAGUGGAAAUUCACAUUUCCAUGAGGACAAAGGGGCAUUCUAAAAUACCCACCCCAAACAGUUGAAAAAAAAAUCGUUUCUCCUUGAAUUUCUUUGGAGACGAGAAAAAUACCAUGGAAGGCUAGGACUCUGUGCAUGAUGAUUUUUGAUCAUUAUGAAUAAGAGUUGUUUUCUUUUAUGGAUUUUUUUUCUCGUCUUCAAGGAAAUUGAAGGGGAAUCAUGAUUUUCUAUAUAUAAACUCUUUACAAUAACAAUUCGGACUGAACCAAAACCAAAAAUUAAAAUACACUUUUAACAACGGAUCUCUUGGCUCUC
rnacentral:misc_RNA from 1 species